GGGCACAUGGUGUAGUUGGUUAUCACAUCUGCUUAGCAUUAAUAGCAUGCAGGGGGUGCUGGGUUCAAUUCCCAGUGUGUCCA